GGGUGCAUUAGCCGCGAAUAUUGUCCACACAUAAUGUUUUUUUUUUAAUGCAACAGCAUUUACCUAUAAAAGAAGGGUUCUGAUGUGGAAACGCUCUCCUUUUCGCUUGUGAUCCUGGACCGAUUAGUAGUGCGCGCGUGUGUAGAAUACUCCAAGAUUUUGAGGUUAGAUUGUGAUACCUCGUUUUUGUGGAAAUGGUAUAAUUCAGUGUUAUUUUCUUAAAAUAGGUUCAGCACCUGUACAGCUAGUUUGUUAGUAACUUAAAACUAGUGUUAAUCUGUAAAAACUGAAACGCUAAAGGUUCCUACUAUACUGCAUCUGAAAAGUGAAACUAAAACUAAACAGAGAAACUUGUAAGAAAAAGUGUGCUUAGGCCCAAGAAGUGGGCCUUUUUCUUCUACUCGGCAGUAAAGCUCGACAAGUGGCCAACCUACGGCGAAAUCAAGACCUUGGAGUGAAGCGCGUCGUGGCCAGGGGAACAGCGGAAGAAACACGCAAGGGCGGUAUCCUUGCAGCAGGUUCGGAAUGAACCGUCGGUGGUCCACCAUUUUGUGGGAUCAGAGUAGCCACUUUCUGGACGUCGACCAAAGCCUCGGCGACGCCAUGUUUCCAUCAUUUUCCAGCCCGAUCCGGUGUCAUGAACGGCAUCCCGUUUCCGGAACCGUCUGGAGAUUUCAAUCGUCCUUCGAAUCCCGGACGAAUCCCAGUUCCUCGAAGCGUUCCUCGUCCAAAGCCAGUGUACCACUCCUCGGCCAAAUUGAAAACUACCCCGAACAUCAGCAACGAUACAAAUUAUGCGCAAGUACCCUAACCAAACAUGUGACGUCACACAAAUAAAUAUUGUACAUAGUAAUUAAGGAAAA